AGAUGUGGGGGACUGCUUUUCUGCUGCAGUCAUUUCAGCGUGAGGUGAGCCCAUGUGUGAAGACUGCCGCCCACUGGUUUCUGUUGGUCCUGCGUGCGGAGCGUCGCGCACAUUGGGUGAUCUGGCCGCAGAAGCAGUUUAGAUGCCAUCAGGCCACGUCCUGUGCCGCGCGGAAGAAACAGCCGUUGACGCCGGCCUUGAAGUUGCCAUGACUGAUCUCUCAGGCAUGCAGGGGGAUGUCAUGUAGCUCCCUUUGAUUGAUCUCUUCACUUCCUGUUACAAAGAUGGAGGCUGCUCCCGUAACCACACGGCCCCUUUCAAGCUUGGCGUGUAGGAGACGCCCUUCGGCUAGGUUCCAGGAUCUGUCGGGUUUACCCUUCACCCCAAACCUAACUGUAACCAUCAGAGGAGUAAACACGACACUGACCUUAGAUCAGUGUCUAGAGGCAACUCCA